rnacentral:rRNA from 1 species
GAGGAAUGUAUAGCAAUAGCUACUUGUAUCGUUGUAAAGAUGAUGCAAGAUCGACUAUGUUGAAUAAAAUUCUAGGUAGAAUUAUGAUAAUGACAUUGUCUGCCUAUGUGUCUUGACCAAAUUACGUGCCAGCAGUCGCGGUAAUACGUAGAAGACUAGUGUUAUUCAUGUUUAAUCGGUUUAAAGGGUACCUAGACGGUGAAUCAAGCUUUAGAAUAAAAUGAAAAGGACUAAUUCACUAGAGUUACUUACGAGGGGGCAUUAAAGUACUGCUGGUGUAGAGAUGAAAUUCUGUAAUACCUGUCUCAGACAUAUGGCACAGGUAUAGGCGAAGGCAUCCCCUUAUGGGAUAACUGACGUUGAGGGACGAAGGCUUUGUAUAACAAACAGGAUUAGAUACCCUAGUAGUUAAAGCAGAAAAUGAUGAAUGUCAUAGAUUAGAUGUAUAAGUUUAUUCUAUAAAUGAAAGUGUAAGCAUUCCACCUCAUGAGUAAUUUGGCAACAUUGGAAUUGAAAUCAUUAGACCGUUUCUGAAACCAGUAGUGAAGUAUGUUGUUUAAUUUGAUAACCCGCAAAAAACCUUACCACAACUUGAAUAUUUAUAUAAUUUAGAAUAAACUAACAAGGAGGCAAUAUAUUUACAAGUGUUGCACGGCUGUCUUCAGUUAAUGUCGUGAGACUUUGGUUAGUUCCAUUAAAUUAACGUAAACCCUUACUUUAUUAUAUAAAGUAGUUCCCC